GAUGAACGCUGGCGGCGUGCCUAAUACAUGCAAGUCGAGCGAACAGAUGAGAAGCUUGCUUCUCUGAUGUUAGCGGCGGACGGGUGAGUAACACGUGGGUAACCUACCUAUAAGACUGGGAUAACUCCGGGAAACCGGGGCUAAUACCGGAUAAUAUUUUGAACCGCAUGGUUCAAUAGUGAAAGACGGUUUCGGCUGUCACUUAUAGAUGGACCCGCGCCGUAUUAGCUAGUUGGUAAGGUAACGGCUUACCAAGGCGACGAUACAUAGCCGACCUGAGAGGGUGGUCGGCCACGCUGGGACUGAAACACGGGCCAGACUCCUACGGGAGGCAGCAGUAGGGAAUCGUCCGCAAUGGGCGAAAGGCUGACGGAGCAACGCCGCGUGAGUGAAGAAGGUCUUCGGAUCGUAAAACUCUGUUGUUAGAGAAGAACAAAUUUGUUAGUAACUGAACAAGUCUUGACGGUACCUAACCAGAAAGCCACGGCUAACUACGUGCCAGCCGCCGCGGUAA
rnacentral:rRNA from 1 species